rnacentral:rRNA from 1 species
UAGGGAAUCUUCCGCAAUGGACGCAAGUCUGACGGAGCAACGCCGCGUGAGUGAAGAAGGAUUUCGGUUCGUAAAACUCUGUUGUUAGAGAAGAACAGCGCAUAGAGUAACUGUUAUGCGUGUGACGGUAUCUAACCAGAAAGCCACGGCUAACUACGUGCCAGCAGCCGCGGUAAUACGUAGGUCCCGAGCGUUGUCCGGAUUUAUUGGGCGUAAAGCGAGCGCAGGCGGUUAGAAAAGUCUGAAGUGAAAGGCAGUGGCUCAACCAUUGUAGGCUUUGGAAACUGUUUAACUUGAGUGCAGAAGGGGAGAGUGGAAUUCCAUGUGUAGCGGUGAAAUGCGUAGAUAUAUGGAGGAACACCGGUGGCGAAAGCGUCUCUCUGGUCUGUAACUGACGCUGAGGCUCGAAAGCGUGGGGAGCGAACAGG